rnacentral:lncRNA from 1 species
AAUCUUAUUCCAAAACCCCACUUCCCAACUCUAAACCCUAAAACCUAAACUCUAAACUCUAAACCCUAAACCCUAAACCCUAAACUCUAAACUUUAAACCCUAAAUCCUAAACCCUAAAUCUUAACCCACCCCUUAACUCUAAACCCUAAACCCUAAACCCCACCACUAAACUCUAAACCCUAAAUCCUAAACUCUAAACCCUAAACCCUAAAUCUUAAAUCCUAAACUCCACCC